AUGGUGCUAAGUGCAAUGGUGGGGAAACACAAUGCUUUAUGGGAAUUUAGGCUUGUUACAAAAAUGGCCGCCAAGGAAGAUGGCGGCUCAUGAAGUACAUGUUGGAAAACAGAUCACAGUUCACCAGGAUGACCACGCAAGACUACAUGCCAGUUGAAGUACAGGACCAAGUGAGGUACUGGUUUGUUCUGCACCAGGAAUGUGGAGUUCAGCCCUGCCUUAGACACCAGAUCACCUUCUAUUGCUAUCUUCAAGUCCCAUUCAUUAUUUAAUGUUAAAACCAGAAUAUUCAUACCUUGGAUUAAAACAUGACAAUCGGAUGACAAUGUAUUUUAAAGAUAUAUUGUUUAUUAUUUAUUUCUUCAUUAUAAUGAUGCUGAUAAUUUCCUAUCUAUUUCUGGAUGACUUGGGAUUCCUCAUCCCAACUUUACCUGGACCUGUAAGCAAGCUAUACAACUAAUUGAUGCUAGUCAAGCGAUUGCAUUGUUGGUAUUAUAAUGUUCUAUUUUAUAAUAUGUAAAGUGAAGACCCCACACACUACGAGGGGGAGCUCAAUGUAAUCAGCCGCAAACCAGGCGAGUCUCUCCAAAAGUUUGAGAUCCGUCUUAUGCAUGUGAUAUCGCGCGUGCACCCAAACACCCCCCUAGAAAUCAGGGACAGGCUAGCUAAACAGUUGUUCAUGGACCGAUUGGGAAAUCCCGAACUCAGUUUGGAGGUCAAAAAACUCCGUCUCAAAACACUCCACGAAGCUUGCACUCAGGCACAAUUCCUGGAAGACAUUCAGGGUCCGUCAGAGCCUUACUUCCGUCAUGACCCCUGGCAAAGUUGUUAAUCGUGCCGGUGACGUGGUCAGCGCCGGCAUUGUAGAGCCCGUCGCGUCACUAGAACGGUUUGGCAUAAAAGCGGAGAUGGUAGCGGAUAGUGUCACUAGGGGUAAAGCUAGGACUCUGCUAGUGAAUGAAAACAGGGAAGCUGUAGUUAUCCCCAAAGGGGUGGUAAUUGGCUUAUUCCACCCCCUACCUGACUGUCCUACGUCCCUAGAGAAAAGUAGGGAGAACAUAACUAGCUUAGUGGCCGAAAUCUCUACUGAAGACACAGUCGUCAGGCCCCCCCUGGCACUCCACCGAGGGAGCAGAAUCCUGGUCACGGCACCAAUUUGUAACAAUAACCUUUUUGCUCUAUGUUAGCUUAUACCUAAACAUUCAAGCAAGCACGAUUCGGAUACUGGAUUCUGCUUUCGGAAGAGUGUAUUUAUUCACAGUGUAACACAAUAAUAAACAUCCACAGCAUUGUAACGACAAGAUAUCCAACCCUUCUUCUACAGUUCCUGACAACUAACAAGAGCCUCAGUUACAUUAACAAUCGGACAUUGUGUUGUGUACUUUUUUAUAGACGAAUAUAAGGACUUACUUGUUCAGUUGGAACGGACACAGGACACUCAGAAGUAACUCCGACUAGACUCUCUCGUAACCUUGUGAGCAACUGACUGGCUAGCUUUCCUCUGUCCUAACUUUAUAGUCAUUCUAAUUAUGCACGUAACAGACUCUGACCUUGAUUGGUAGACAAUACGGCAGCCCACAUGUAAGUGUUAACUGGACUUGUCUAGCCACCUUUUUGUGGUGUAUAUUGAUACUGGCAGACAGGCAAGGUGCUAAACAGCAGAGAGUGACAACAUUUUACAUAAUACAUAAAACUAUGUCUUUGAUCUACCUACUCUAAAACUACCAUCUUACAUUAGGAUCAAUUCUGGUAAGACAUACCUUAAUUUAUUGGAAGGUUGUAGAUACAUGCAUUUUGACUAGAAUCAUUAUAAUUAUGAUAGGAAUAACUUGUUAUGUCUCUGUGUACAAUUUUUAAGAUAUUGUUUUCAUAAACCCAAGGUAUUGCCUGUAUUGUACCAAUUUUGUGCAUUCCUUUUGAUAGUCAUUAAAAAAACCUGUCAU